GACACCAGCGACCCGUGAGCAUCUUUGCUGCAUGGGGCUCCCCGGUGCCGCCCCCCCUCUACCUGCGCAGAGCCCGGCCGGCGGAUGGGAGCUCACCCGAUUCUUGCACAAGACAGCGUGGUGCCGGCUGAGCAGGUGGAUCAGGGUGUAACUCCGGGGAGUUGGGAGGUGACAGCAAGACUGACAAGCGGGACAGCGGGACAGCCAAAAUCUCUGCUACAAACUCAGCUGGGAUAUGGGAGGCUUGAGCCACAGGACUGCCUUCUGUGGAGAUCAAAGCAGGGAUGUGCAGGCGAAUUUCUGUCAGCCCAGCGACCAGCAAUGAAGAUGGCAACUCUGCCUGGAAGUGCUGAGGACACAACCAGCUUUGGGCUUGGUCCUUCUGGCCGCGGAAGUCUCCUGAUUAUGCAGUGGAGUGAUUCCAUAGGGAAUUUCAGACUCUUACUGCAGUCGUCACAACCCCUCCUGACUCACUGAGCCUUCGCUGGCUGUAGCUGGCUCCCUUGGAGCAUCCUCGCCUCCUGCAGCGCCAGUUCCGCAGAGCAGGGGAACAACAGGAAUAGCAGCAACAACGGUGGUCCCUGCAGCAAGCUGGACAGGCAUAAAUACACACACAUAUAGGAACAGUACAAGGCAGCCGCGGAGGUAAUUCUGUACAGCCAGGAGCUGGACUACGAAACGAGGCUCGGUUGCAUGGAAGACGGGUGGGUUGAGUCUGUAUUACUGAGUGCUGUCUGAACGGACAACCCUUUGCAUUUUUCCCCAUCGCAGCUGUGGGGUGGAGGACCCCAUUAAUUUGCGAAGCUCGUGCUUCUUAAUGGCAUUUCUCAGUCCUUUGGAAGGAGGUGCAACUGGCAGCCAGUAUACUUGCUCAGGCAUAUGCGUACUUUUUGAGUAUCUGUGUUCAGCGUAGGGAUGCACUUGUUGUUAGUCCUUUUGCUACCAUCUUUUUUUUGCCAUAGUGAUAGUUUAAUUGUGGCUAAAUGCAGGGAGGGUAAGGAGACAGAGAUAAAAGAGGAGUUAUUUCAAUGUUAAACUUCAGCUGAAAAUCUCAUUACUCAGGAAUUGAGGUUACUGUCAGCAGGUAAAUCUGUGGGACUGGCAAGAAACAAGGCUAAGAAGGGGACACGGCAUAUUUCUGUAGGACGGUAGCGAUUUUGCGCAUAGGGAUGGUAUUGUUACUGUAUGUGAGCUGUACAUGGCUGACUGUUCCGUAAUGGUGUUCUGCGUAUUGCCGCAAAAGGACUUGGGAAAGCUGUGAUUUCUUCCUCCCUCUGACACUUGUGUGUGUGACAUUGUGUCAGCCGAUUCAUUUUUGUGUCUUUUGGUUUCCUUCCUUUGUAAAGUGGGGUUUAUGAUAUCUCUCAGCCUUAGUGCGGCAUUAUGACGCAGUGUUCAUUAAUGCGCUGGGUCUGUUGGCAAAAUACAUGCAAUUUUCUUGGGCGUUUUGACUGAUCAAGGACUACAAAAUUUGGUAAAGGAAGUUAGGGAUUGCAAAUGCUCACGACAUAAAUUUUAAAGCAUUACUGUCUUACUCUUCUUUGAUAUUGAAGGAAGGCUCUCUGACUGAUGAGGCAGCCAUGAUCUCUUCCUGCACUUGUUUUGCCGAUGGUCAUGUUACAUCUGUGACGCAGUCCGAUUUUGCUUGUUGGUUCCUGCCUGUGCUUUACGGAGUUGAGCUGAUGAGGGCACAAGCUUGAAUACGGUUAGGAACAUUAAUUUAAUAUUGAUGUUGAAGUUUGCAACCAUACCUGAAGUGGCAGGGAUAUCGGCAUCCACCUAUUUCACCACCCACAAACGGUGAAGGAAUUCGAAUGAACACAACAGCACCCCUAGCCAUUUUGUUGCUCGCAGAGUAGACUCUAAGCCUGCAGCGCUGCUGCUGCUGCUGUUAAUUUCCAUGUCAUACAAAUACAGCAUGGGGCUCUGUGUCAGGAGCUUUACUGAUGCUGUGAGAACCUUAAAGUCUACGAGCAAAUGUUUUUCUUUUCUUAUUUGGGAAAAUUCAUUAAAAUGUCCAAAUACCAAGUAUUCUACCUUCACUCCUCUUACAAAUCACUUCCAGACCUAUCCAGAAAAUUCACUGAUGCUGUGUAGUUUUUCCAAAACUUGUUCACGGUGUUUUCUUAAGGUUUAAUAUGGGUGUGGCUGGGGGGGGCGGGUAAGAUUUAAGUCAGUUAAGUAUCUCUAUCGCUGAUGCUAAUGGACAAAGAUGUAGGCAAGAGAUAGGAGUUGCCCGUAUCCUCUAUGUAUCUGUAUGUAGAUAUAGAUAGUCCCAAGCCUAGAUUGCGAAGAUGCCCUUGUUAUGGAACAAGAAGGGAGUACUCUAUUCUGUUCUCACCCACCCAAAAGUUUUGGUGCAAAGGCGGCAGUAGAAAUGGCCAACGUGGGAAUCUCUCAAAAUGGUUUCAACAGCAUUCAGAGAUGCCAGAGCCGUUUAUACUGGCACGGCUCCGAGAGAGGUACUGUGAGCUGCCUGCUGCAAGGUCAUUCCCCUGACUCACUGUCAGCGACCAGUUGGUUCGGGAACUCCCAGUCCACAUUUCUUACAAUUGUGGCAGUGCUGAGUCCUGAGCCUGGAGGUGAGGCUUGAAAAUUAAUGCUACUGCAGUAGUGGGCCACUGAGUCCAAAAGUGUAGAUCCAAAACAUCCUGCAUCUCUCAAGCGUUUUAAAAUCCCUAUCUAUAAUUUGUUUCUUGAGCUAACUACAAAAACUUUGCACUAGUUCCCUCAUCCCCUUUUUCCCCAAGACUUCCUCUGGACUGCUGGGAAUCAGGAGUGGCAUGCAUUUAAGGAAUAGUCAUCAACUUACACUGUGUUCCAGAAAAAAAAAUAUGAAAAAAGUGUCUGCAUAUAUUUGCAUUUCUGUUCCUGUAGUCGUUAUCAGGUGGACUCCGCAGGCUGCUCUAAGUUCACCACCACAUCUGUGAAGCUAGUGUUGUCUCCCGUGAGCUUUCAGUUUCAGGAACCUCAGCCCAAUAGCUGUCUUGUCCCCUCCCAGGUUUCCACAUUUUUCUCCGGUGUUCCUAUUUGUCCAUGUCACUAGUAUUUUCAGUUGACACAGGGCAACAUCAACCAUGCGUAUGUUAGGGCUGGCUCUAGUCUUCUCAGCUUCAUAGGCAGCAGUGGAGUGGUUAAUGCCCCAAGGAUCUUGAGCAAAAUAACCUAUUUUGUCCCCAUCUUUGCAAUAACAAAGUUCAAUUUGGGGGCAUGUUAUCUGCCUCCUUUCCAACAGAGAGGAACGUGGGGGCCAGUGCAGGCCAAGCACGGACACGAGUGGAUCCUUCCUGCUAGCCUACCUACCUGUUUUGCUAGCCGACCUCCCCAAGCCUCCAGCCCUGGGCAGCUUCCUGCCCUGACCGUGCUUAAAGUCAGUCUUAGCCACCAGUAUCGUUAUUCUCUAGUUUUCAAAGGGAAAGAACCUGGCUGCUAAUCCUGAUGCCAGUGACGACUCUUCGCCUACAGGGAGGCAUAUGUGAUAGCUUGUCUGCUAAAAACUGAGCCAACACAGUGUGAUUCAGACCCUAAGCUUUCCAAGGAAGAGAGCUAUUUCUGAGUUAAGCACAUCUCUUCAGCUCCCCACACAAACACUUUAUCCAGUGCAAAUGGUGCAUAGUAGGUGUCCAUCAGCAGCCACUGGUUUUGUAUUCAGAUAUACAGCUUAAAUGCUUCUUAAACAUUGACGAUGGCUCUCAAACAUACAGUGAAGUUUCAGUGAUAGACAGAAUGACGGAAAUCCUGGGAACAGGUACAAACCAAACAGCUCACGUGCUCAGGGGAGUCAGCCAGGAGUUUGGUCAAUGCUUUUCUCCAGCUUUUUUGACAGGUCCUUGCUACUGUGGAUAGCGUUAAGAUAUGGCAGGGUACUGAAGGCAUGUUUUCAAACGUCCGGUUUAAGGGCAGGUUAUACUUCAGUGAACAUCUGGCAGUAUUUGUUUCCUUAUGCUCUUCCCUGGCACAGGACAUUCUUUUGUCUCUUAAAUGACACAAAGAAAAAUAUGACUUCCCUUGACAUUACCUAAAGUAGUGGGAAUGGUAGUGUUGGGGGAACACCAUGUUCCUGAACUGACUAUACAAAUCACAACAAUAAUCUCUCUGUGACUGCCUUCAAGAGCUGCAAUCAAUACUUUAUAUUCUAAGGUGAUGCUUAAGUACAGAAGCUAGGAACAGAAAAUUACUUUUCUGGUUUCAGCUACUUUGGUGGAUAAUUUUUUUUAGCGUAGUUAGUUUUGUAACGUGCUGUUCAGUCAAGCUGUGUAUGGCUAAAUUUGAUGAGUUUUCAGUGCUGCAACUUCCUACUGCUCUUCCAUGACCUGGGUCAUGUAAGCGCGAUGCUUUUCUUCCCCUGUAAGUUUGCCCAGUUUCACCUCAUCGUUCCUUGUGAAAUCUGAAAUCCUCAAUAGGAUUCAGUGGUUCAGUAGUUCCUGUGCCCUCCGAACAGGCUGUGGUUUUGCCUAGGAACUCCCAUGAAAUCAAAGGUGGAAGAAAACUGUAUGACUCCAGGCAAAUCAAAGCAAUUUCAGAUGAGCAGACGGGAAGCAGAAGAUUAGAAAUUGUAGCCCUAGUAUCUAGCGCUCCUAGAAUGGUCACCAUGCUAAAAUCUCUCCCUUCAGUUCAGAAUAGCUUUGGGGCAAGCAAUAGCAAAUAGCAAGUAAGUGUUAUAUUUUACUUAUCAGUCUGAAACGAAGUUCUGGAUUUAAAAAAAAGGUCUUGUGAAUAAAUCCUAAUUAUUUUAGUGAUGUCGUGCUGUUAUGAACUAUCUCCAAGUUUCUCCAAAAGAUGUGUAAUCUGCAAAUUAAAGGUCUCUUGCACUUUUUUUAGCCUACUCUGUUAGACCCAAGCACCACAGAAAACGUGGAUCAGUAUGGCAGAACCACGAAAAGAAGGCUGCUAUGGCCCAUCACAUCACCCAGUGUGCCUGGGUCAAUGCUAGUGUUGAACUAUCUUGCCCUCAAAAUGAGGUUCAUUGCAUCCAAACCACCAAUACCUGCUUGCCAAUGCUGACUGCUAGACCGUGGCUCAGCAUUGUUUAGGAGAAUCCUGGCUGGCACCAAACCGGGUGGGAAAGAACUCUAUCAAAACUCAUCCAAAACUCACCCAAAGCAGCAAGAGUUAACCACACGCUAGUGUGCCUUCAGUGAGGCCACCAUGCAAAGAGAAGAGGCCAAGCUGCACCUCUCAGACCUCAUCACAAGCCAAAUUUCAGCCAUCACUGACACUGCCAAUCACCUGGCCUGCGCUAAAUUAUCUGGAAAAGAGCUGCUUCUCCCUACGUUAAACAAAUGAGCAAACAAAAACCUGGCCUUCCCCUCACCCCCAAACCCUUGAACAAUUGGACCAUUUUAAAAAAUGGGUUAGAAUGAUAGGCAGCUUGGUGACAGUUCAGCACAGUUAGACAAAUGCUAGUGAGUGCUCUGACAGAUUACCCUUAAUAGGAAUUGAAAUUAGUGACUCAAAUGUCAAGCAGGCCUGACUGUCCCAUUGCUCAGAGCUGAACGGGACAAAAGGCUGUACAGGCUUUUACCUGCAGCAUGCCAUACUCCGGUGUUCAGACUACCUUUGGGUUUUGGGGGUGGGGGGGCAGAGAGCACAAGGGUUGCAGACCCAGAGCGCCUGGCUUUUAACUUUACUAUUUACACUGCAAUUGUAAGGCUACGAUAGUAGGACUAAUGGAAUAGACUAUGUUCACCCAGGAAUGUGAUCUGGAGUUUUUAUUCUGGUCCUAAUCAAGAAAAAAAAAAAAAAUCUCCAUUUUGCUUUAAAUUCAUGAGGGAAGUACAUGUUUUUGCUGCCCAUAAUAGCAGCAGCAUCUCUAGAGCCAUCUUCUAGUCACAAUCAUCAACUCCACUAAGCCAUGCAGCAUCUCCCCUACCUUCCUCGGCCUAGGUCAGUGCUACUGCUGACACAGAAAGCGUUACACACUAAUGGCUGGCUGCAAGUUAGGGCACAUUUGUCCAUACCUGACCUACGCAACACCACACAGUAACAGAACUGCACAACAAACAGAUGCAGUUACACGCUCCCCCGGGCUGAGGAAGCCUUUUUGAAACCUUAGAAGUUCACUCAUUUCAAUUCCCCUUACAGGUCACCACUUGUACUGUCACACCCCUCUGUCCUGCACCUGGCCACGGUCUGACUCAUUCCUUGACUGUGGGGAUGAUGCAUCGACCUCAGAUUUUCUGCAUGUAAAACGGGAAUAUUUUCUCCAGGGGAGACCAGACUCUGACGAACCACGAGUUUCACUCCGCGAUUUGAAAAUGGAGGAAAAAAAUUAUGAUGCACACAGGGUCACGCAGAGAUCUGUUUUGCUUACUGUGGAAGCCCAAGAAAUGCCUUAAUUUAUAAGCUGUAGGUUGUGAAAAAUCGGGUCUGUGACAUCCCAGCUUGCCUUGUUCCUGCAGACUAGAUUAAAGGUCUUAGGCUAGGGAGGAAGUUCCCUUUCACGGGGGAGGCAGGGAUUUCUUCCCUUUUUGCCUUUGUCUCAUGUAGAAGGUAUAAAGCAGUGUGAAGCCUGUGCAAGGCUUUGAGAUGUUCCUCUGAAAGAAGCUACAGAACAGCACUGCUACUAAAACGUGUCUGAAAAAGGGGGAAAAAAGCAGAAUGAUAAUACUGUACUUUUUCUAUUAUUUAUUGAAAACUCCACAACACUUUGACAAAGCCAACUAGAGCUGAUAGUAUUUGCUUGUCUCCACACAUAUGUGUGUAUGUGCGUGUCCUUAUGUAGACAUUCAACACACACCAGCAAAUGUUUGAGACAAGCACUGGUUUCUUUUUCUGCAUGUGUGCAUAUUAAUAGUUGGUGCUGCGUAUCACAGCAUCUUGAACUGCUCUCUUUUUUUUCUCCUCCCCUCCGCGUGCUGCCUGCCCAAGCAUGCUAUUAGGUUUGGAAAGAACAGCAUACACUGUCACAGAUGUAUCCUUCAUAAAAGGUGUACCUGCAGUUUGGCAGAAAGCGCUGACACCUUCUGGCUGCUUGGAAGGAAGGGGAGCUUGUUAAGGCAUAGGACAAUCUUCAGGUAGCCUGGAGGAGGGGCAGCAGCAUCUUAAUUAUGCUGAAGUGAAACCUGGUUUUGUCAAGCUAUAAAUAAUGAAUGAGCUAUUGGUCUUCAACUGCUGCAUGAUAUUUCCGGAGAGGGAAGGGGAAGGUAUGCAUAGGUGUUCGGACUCUGGAAGUCUCACACCUCUACAGAAGCUCCCAUUUUCAGCAGCACAAACAUAAGUGACAUUUCCACCAACUGUUUUUGAAAACCCUAAUAAAGAUUUCUUUUUAC